GUUUGUAUAGUUUAAAAUAAAACACUAGGUUGUGACCCUAGAAAUAGAAAACCUUCUUACAGACC
rnacentral:tRNA from 1 species